rnacentral:rRNA from 1 species
CCGACGGUGAGAGAUGAAAGCUGGGGGCACGAACCGGAUUAGAUACCCGGGUAGUCCCAGCCGUAAACGAUGCUCGCUAGGUGUCUGGGAUGGUGCGACCGUUUCAGGUGCCGCAGGGAAGCCGUGAAGCGAGCCACCUGGGAAGUACGGCCGCAAGGCUGAAACUUAAAGGAAUUGGCGGGGGAGCACUACAACGGGUGGAGCCUGCGGUUUAAUUGGACUCAACGCCGGAAAACUCACCUGGGGC